CCUUUGGUGUCCUGGCCAUUGCGUACCCACCCUACCUAGGAUGUUUCAAAAAGGUCUAGCAAUUCAUCAUCGUUAUAAUGGCUUUAAUUAUUCAGAAUCGCCAAUCAACCGCCGUAUCAGUAUAUUUAGCGGUCAAAGCUAAAUUUAAGAACAAGGAAUGGACACUCUCCGACAAAAAUGUUCUGCCACCCUUGUAUCGGCAGAACUCUCUGGGUUACGCGGCUUAAAUUAAGGUCACCUAAUCCUGAGGAGCUCCAAGGGAAAAGAAGGGACGCCGAAAGGUAUGGGAGAUUUACACACUCGAUUCCUUCAUCCUAAUUAAUUGCGACCCUUUUAUUUUAGCAACCGUCGAUCAAGGGUGAAUCUUUGGAAGGACGCACAAUAGACUUAACAAUAUAAGGUAUUUAAAUUCUUAAAAACUACACAUUAUUUUAAUUGAUUUUUAAAUUCAGCAGGUGGUGGCUGGGCUCAGCCCACCAGAGUAUUGCACCACGAGAACUUGGAGGCGUAUAGGGACUUUGCUGGCCAACCUCGUGGUACCAGCCGCUCGCGAGGAAAACUGGCCACUAAUUUGGGAACACCCCAACACGGAACGGACUCACCGGAGAUCUCUAGCAGGUAGCGAGGAUUUGGUCGUUGAUGGCGUGGUUCUUCAAAAGGUUCCUCCAAACGCACGUUCUCCUCAGGGAACUUCGUAGUUGUGUCCCUCCAAAAAAUGUUAUAAUUUUGUGU